GAGUUUGAUCCUGGCUCAGGACGAACGCUGGCGGCGCUGCUUAACACAUGCAAGUCGAGCGGUAAGGCCCUUUCGGGGGUACACGAGCGGCGAACGGGUGAGUAACACGUGGGUAACCUGCCCUCAGCUCUGGGAUAAGCCCGGGAAACUGGGUCUAAUACCGGAUAUGACUCCGCAUCGCAUGGUGUGGGGUGGAAAGCCUUGUGCGGCUGAGGAUGGGCCCGCGGCCUAUCAGCUUGUUGGUGGGGUAGUGGCCUACCAAGGCGACGACGGGUAGCCGGCCUGAGAGGGCGACCGGCCACACUGGGACUGAGACACGGCCCAGACUCCUACGGGAGGCAGCAGUGGGGAAUAUUGCGCAAUGGGCGAAAGCCUGACGCAGCGACGCCGCGUGAGGGAUGACGGCCUUCGGGUUGUAAACCUCUUUCAGCUCCGACGAAGCCUUCGGGUGACGGUAGGGGCAGAAGAAGCACCGGCCAACUACGUGCCAGCAGCCGCGGUAAUACGUAGGGUGCAAGCGUUGUCCGGAAUUAUUGGGCGUAAAGAGCUCGGA
rnacentral:rRNA from 1 species